UACGUAGGUGGCAAGCGUUUGUCCGGAUUUAUUGGGCGUAAAGGGCGCGCAGGCGGUCCGUUAAGUCCGAGGUGAAAUCUCCCGGCUCAACUGGGAGGGGUCUUCGGAUACUGGCGGACUUGAGGAGUGCAGAGGUGAGUGGAAUUCUCGGUGUAGUGGUGAAAUGCGUAGAUAUCGAGAGGAACACCAGUGGCGAAAGGCGGCUCA
rnacentral:rRNA from 1 species